AACGAACGCUGGCGGCAGGCUUAACACAUGCAAGUCGAACGGAUGUAGCAAUACAUUAGUGGCGCACGGGUGAGUAACGCGUGGGAACGUGCCCUUAGGUACGGAACAACAUCGGGAAACUGAUGCUAAUACCGUAUAAUAUCUUCGGAUCAAAGAUUUAUCGCCUAAGGAUCGGCCCGCGUUGGAUUAGGUAGUUGGUGAGGUAAUGGCUCACCAAGCCGACGAUCCAUAGCUGGUCUGAGAGGAUGAUCAGCCACACUGGGACUGAGACACGAGCCAGACUCCUACGGGAGGCAGCAGUGAGGAAUAUUGGACAAUGGAGGAAACUCUGAUCCAGCCAUGCCGCGUGAGUGAAGAAGGUCUUCGGAUUGUAAAGCUCUUUUACCCCUGACGAUAAUGACGGUAAGGGGAGAAAAAGCCACGGCUAACUUCGUGCCAGCAGCCGCGGUAA
rnacentral:rRNA from 1 species